rnacentral:tRNA from 1 species
AGGUGGCACAAUGAGUCAGUGCAUCUGGCUGUUAAACAGAAGGUUGGUGGUUCAAGCCCACCCAGGGAUG